CUGAACACGCUCGGCUUCCUUCCCGGCUGCCGAGAUGCCUCCUUCUACGCGCGGCUUUUUCCCCACCAACAACGCCCUUUCUCCCCCACACGCUGCGGCAACCGAGAUGAACGCGCUGCCGUCACCGAGAUCCCGCGUCGAUUCGAUUCACCUGUGGUGCUCGCGACGAAGGGAAUUGCGAACUCCUUCUCCUUCUCGUUGACGAAGACAGCGGAGAUCGUGGAGGCGCUGCACAACUACGGUAUCUUCCUCGGCCUCUUCCUUGCUAGCGUUGUCAGGCGACGCUUCCCAGGGAGCCACCAGCCCACGACUCCAUCCACCGGCACCACAUCGUCUUUGGCAGCGGCUCCUCCAUCGCACAUGUCGUUGUCCCUAGAGGCGAAGCAAUGUGGACUCGAGUCUGUCUGUCGCCUCCGCCUCCUCCAUCGCAUGCCGACUCCGUCGCGCCAAUCCAUCCGCGCACGUCCACCUCCACUACCUCUGUCCGCUCGGGAGUUGCCGUCCUCCGCGCUAGGCCUCGCCUCCGUCUGGUUUGACUUCUUCGACAUCUAG
rnacentral:misc_RNA from 1 species